GUACAAACCGACAGACAGACGGUCAAGUAUAAAGUAUGAAAUAUUAAUGGUUCUCGAGAGGUAGAGCGGACACAAUUUGUUAAGAACAACGAACGGAUGGACAGACCGACGGACUGACCUUUGACCUAGGAUGCAUACAUUAUGACACAUUCUCUGGUGUUGGUUAAUAUAUAUGUUAAGUUGAAAAUGUUUGUCAGGUAUAAAGUAUGAAAUAAUAACAGCUGUCCUCUCAAAAUAUAGUGUGGAUCAAAUUUGUUAGCGAUGGACAGACCAACAGACAGACAGACCUUUUGACCUAGGAAGUUGUACAUACAUCAUGACACACCCUCUGGUGUUGGUUAAAAUGGAUGUCAAGUAUAAUAUUUGAAAUCAUAACGGUUAUCUAGAUAUGGAGCGGACACGAUCUUCACCACAGGACACGGGGUUGUCAACUGAAACCAAAGUUUUUGACCUUGACCUUUGACCUAGGAAGUUGUACAUACAUCAUGACACACCCUCUGGUGUUGGUUAAUAAACAUGUUAAGUAUUAAGUAUAAAAUCAUAACGGUUAUCUAGAUAUGGAGCGGACACGAUCUUCACCACAGGACACAGGGUUGUCAACUGAAACCAAAGUUUUUGACCUUGACCUUUGACCUAGGAAGUUGUACAUACAUCAUGAAACACCCUCUGGUGUUGGUUAAAAUGGAUGUCAAGUAUAAACUUUGAAAUCAUAACGGUUCUCAAGAUAUAGAGCGGACACGAUCUUCACCACAGGACACAGGGUUGUCAAUUGAAACCAAAGUUUUUGACCUUGACCUUUGACCUAGGAAGUUGUACAUACAUCAUGACACGCCCUCUGGUGGUAGUUAAUAAACAUGUAAAGUAUAAAGUAUGAAAUCAUAAUGGUUCUCUAGAUAUGGAGCGGACACAAAGUUA
rnacentral:lncRNA from 1 species